rnacentral:snoRNA from 1 species
UGAUAAUGAUGUGGGCAAGAUAACAUUUGCUUAAAUCGAUCCCAUGCUUGGUACAUAUCUUCUCCAUUUCUCUGCUUGAAGCUUAAGAUUUCACUCCUCAACCU